AAUGAAUGUGAUAAAGUCUUUUCAGACCAUGGUAACAUUCGGAGGCAUACUGAAGACAAACCCUACAAAUGUAGUGACUGUGGUGAAGCCUUUAUUCAACACAAUAGACUCCUGAUACAAGAAAGGGUUCAUACUGGAGAGAAAGCCUACAAAUGUAAUGAAUGUGAUAAAACCUUUUCACAACCCAGUAGACUCCAGAUACACAGAAGAAUUCAUACAGGAGCAAAACCCGUCAAACUUAAUGAAUGUGUUAAACCCUUUUCACAACAAAAUAGUCUCUAGACACAUAGAGUUCCUACCAAAGAGAAACCCUACAACCUUAAACAAUGUGAUAAAGCCUUUCACAACACAGUAAUCUCCAAAUACAUUUAAGAACACACAGAGGAGGGAUACCCUCCAAAUGUAACCAAUGUGACAAAGUCUUUUCCCAACAUAAUAUUCUCCAAAUACAUAGAAAAAUACAUACUAUAGAGAAACCCUACAAAUUAAUCAUUGUAAUAAAAGCUUUCCAAUCCACA
rnacentral:lncRNA from 1 species